rnacentral:tRNA from 1 species
CAACUGGCCCCAGUUGGUUAGAGCGCUGCGCCGGAAUUGCAGGCCGCAGGUUCGAUUCCUGCUGGAGGG